AGAAUAAAAGUGAACCCGCCCACUUUCUCCUCCUCCUUCUAUUCUACUCGCACUACCAUUUACCUGAGAGGCUCAAACCACCAUAAAAAAACCUAAAAUGGUUUAUUUCCAUUUCCCUGGAAGAGACGGCCUCAAACCUAGACUUCAAUAAAUUAAAUCAUCUUCUACUCCAUUUUUCAAACCGCGCAAGAAAAUCAUUCCCACUUUGCUAUCAAUUGUUCACUUUUAAACCCUAAAUCGUGUUACCCCUAGAUAUCCAUUAAAAUCAAAUCAAAACUUAACCAUAUGUCUGGAAUUUCCUCAAUCUUGACAAUGAAAAGAUCAUUUUAUAAACACUCCCAUACAGAGGGCAGAAGAAGAAAAGGAGAAUAAGAGAAAGUGUCGGCGGCAGGGGUUCUUCUCAUCAGAGGAAGAUGAACUUCUGGGACGAGUUUUCUAGAAGGAUUACUGGUAUGGGUUUUUGUGUUUAUGUUACUGUAUGUAUUCAUGGGUUGCUGUAUUAUUAAUGCAAUUUGAAUGAGUUAUUGUCUGUGGUGUAAUUUUAUUUUGGAUCUGUAUAGGUAGAAUAGCAGUUGUAUAUGUUAGGAUUUGUGGCUUAAUCUGACAGUACUGGAUAACUACAUUAAAAUCGAUUUAAGCAGAUUUUUUGAUAUAAGGAAUCGAGUACUUUCCCAAACUGGUAAGAAUUUUGUUUACUUGUUUGUUGGAUGUCCUGGUAAGUCGUACAUUUAGAAUUUCUUCAAACCCAAAAUUUUAAAUUCGGUGAUGUUGCUUUGAUAUAUUCAAUUGUAGUGGUGAUGCCCAUCUCUUCUUUUGUCUUUAGAGUUGUUUUGAGUAGUUUUCCUUUGUUCUUCAUUUGGGAUCUUCCUGGUGAGGUGAUAACCCACAAAUCAUCAUAUAUUAACUGAAAUCCCCAUAUUCAUUUUCAAGUUAUGAAGGUCUUAUAUUUAGAAUUUAGUUAUUGAAAUCUUUGUUGGUGUAUUUGUUAGGCUAGGCAAAGUUGAUAAAGACAAAGCGGUACUUUAAUAGCUUAUGAAGCAGAAAGUACUAUCCAAACAGGUCUGAAGAAAGUCUCCAACAGGUCUGGCAACAGACAGGGCGAAAAGCUUUGGGCUCCAGAAAACAAUGUGAAAAGUUACCAUAGAGAUUUCUAGUUCAAAUACAUCUUCCUUAUUGCUUUAAGGUACCAUUAUCUGCAUGGGUUUGCUUUUCUAUGCUGAUGAUUUUCCCACACACAACUUCAUUGUCAAUCAAACUAUUUUGUAGCUCAUGAGACUCAGAAAACACCAAAUCAAGUCAAGUGAUGCUAAAAGGGAACUAGCUCGUUAGUAAAAAGAUCAAGGUUUGCUUGUCUCAUUAUAAAGCGUAAAUGCUAAUGAAGUUGUCAUCCACUUUUCACGCAUGUACUACAUGAAGAUUUUGGGAUACCUGAUUCAAUCCUCCAUUAAAGUUUAAAGCCAAAUGCGAAGAUGUCUUAUCAGAAUCUGUUAGAGUUCCAGAGAAACCAGUUCAUGUCAGUCAUGUUUUUUAUUUUGUUUCAAUAUCGCGAACUUACUGUUAUAUUAUCUGAUUCAGAAGCUUAAUUGUGUUGGAAUCAUCUUGAUGUAUUUAACUUUCUUUAAUGAAUGAAUGAAAACUU